GUCAGCGAAGAGGUUGGUUUUGGUUGACGAGGAGGACGGGAAGGGGGGAGGGGAGGAGAGAGUGUCUGAUCAGUCGAAGGAGGUAGUGGUUGUCGAAGAAGAGGAAAAAAGAGGAAGAGGCCGAGGGAAGCGGGUAGAGGAAGGGGUAAAGGAGGAGGUCCGGGGGAAGGAGAUGAUGGCGGACGAUAGCGGUGGAUUGAGUGCCAAUCGGGUUGCAGCGCAGGAAGAGGAAGGGAGCACCGCUCCUUUUCCAGAAAGGGUCCAGGUAGGAGGGUCUCCUGUUUAUAAGAUCGAGAGGAAGUUGGGCAAAGGUGGGUUUGGACAGGUUUUUGUCGGUCGCCGUGUUUGUGGAGGCAGUGAACGUACAACAGGUGCUGGAGCACUAGAGCAGGUGGCUAUAAAAUUUGAGCAUAGGAGCAGCAAAGGCUGUAACUAUGGGCCUCCAUAUGAAUGGCAAGUUUACAGUGCUCUUGGAGGCAGCCAUGGAGUACCCAAGGUGCAUUAUAAAGGGCGGCAGGGAGACUACUAUGUGAUGAUUAUGGAUAUGCUGGGACCUAGUUUAUGGGAUGCAUGGAAUUCAUCAGGUCAAGCCAUGUCAUCUGAAAUGGUAGCUUGCAUUGCUGUUGAGUCCAUAUCAAUUCUUGAGAAGAUGCAUUCUAAAGGAUAUGUCCAUGGAGAUGUAAAGCCUGAGAAUUUUCUACUUGGCCAGCCAUCGACACCUCAAGAGAAGAAGUUGUAUCUUGUUGACCUUGGAUUAGCGACGAGAUGGAAAGAUUCUGCCAACGGACAACAUGUUGAGUAUGAUCAGCGCCCAGAUGUGUUCAGAGGAACUGUCCGAUAUGCAAGCGUGCAUGCACACUUAGGAAGAACUGCAAGUAGGAGAGACGAUCUGGAGUCUCUUGGAUACACGCUUAUUUUUCUACACCGAGGCAGGUUACCAUGGCAGGGAUACCAGGGUGAUAACAAGUCAUUUUUAGUUUGCAAGAAAAAGAUGGCGACAUCUCCUGAGAUGCUCUGUUGUUUCUGUUCAGCACCUUUUAAGCAGUUUCUUGAGAUUGUAGUGAACAUGAAGUUCGAUGAGGAGCCCAACUACUCGAAAUUAAUAUCACUGUUUGAUGGGUUAAUUGGACCAAAUCCAGCAAUCCGGCCCAUAAAUACUGAUGGUGCUCAGAAGGUUGGCCAAAAACGGGGCAGACUGACUCUUGAUGAAGAAGAUGAAGCUCAUUUAAAGAAGAAGAUCCGUUUAGGAGUUCCUGCCACCCAGUGGAUUUCAGUAUAUAAUGCCAGGCUUCCUAUGAAACAGAGGUAUCAUUAUAAUGUGGCUGAUUCACGGUUGGCACAACAUGUGGAGAGAGGAAAUGAAGAUGGUCUGCUUAUAAGCUGUGUUGCAUCGUGCUCCAAUUUGUGGGCGCUUAUUAUGGAUGCAGGAACUGGUUUCACAUCUCAGGUUUAUGAAUUGUCCCCUUUGUUCCUUCACAAGACCUUCUGCUGCAGGAAUGGAUUAUGGAACAGUGGGAGAAAAACUACUAUAUCAGCUCUAUAGCUGGUGCUAACAAUGGAAGUUCUCUUGUAGUGAUGUCUAAAGGCACGCCAUAUACACAGCAGUCUUACAAGGUUAGUGAAUCUUUCCCCUUCAAAUGGAUAAACAAAAAGUGGAAAGAAGGAUUUCAUGUCACGUCGAUGGCAACUUCUGGAAGCCGAUGGGGAAUUGUCAUGUCCCGGAAUGCUGGCUUUAGUGAUCAGGUUGUUGAAUUAGAUUUUCUCUAUCCAAGCGAGGGAAUCCACAGGCGUUGGGAUAAUGGCUAUCGCAUCACUUCAAUGGCUGCCACUUGGGAUCAGGCUGCCCUUAUUCUAAGCGUGCCCAAGCGCAAGCCUGGUGAUGAGACUCAGGAGACCCUUCGAACCUCGGCAUUCCCAAGUGCUCAUGUUAAGGAUAAAUGGGCCAAGAAUCUUUAUCUUGCUUCUGUGUGCUAUGGACGCACCGUGUCAUGACAUUUAUGCCAACCUUCAUUUCAGUUCUGGGUUCUGGGAGCAGGGUUUUCCGGCGUGAGUUACAUUUCGCAUGUACAUGCAUCAAUGCCCGAACUAGAGAAACCAAGCCAUGCAGCCUUAUUUUAUUUACUGUUCUCCUUUUGAUUGUAGAUUUUUCAUCCAGUGAAAUUAACUGCGGAGGACUGAGAUUCCGUUGUAUAAUGUAUGCUUAUAUAUACACCAUGAAAAGGCCCAACUCUGAAGGCCCGAUGCAUGUAAGAAGCAAACUCUGCACUGAAACACCAUUCAAACAGUGUUAGGAGCACGCUAUCCAUGGUUAGCAAAGUUCAUUUAAGAGUUUGAAUGAUCGAACAAAA